GCUAGAGUGAUGCAGUGGUUUGAAUAUUAGACUCGACUCUGGAGACUAGUGUUCGAUUCCCUGCUCAGCC